ACAGCCAACACUGUCCUUUGGAAAAAGCCGCUGGUUUUCAUGUGAUUUCGGCAGAAGUAUUUGAGCCAAAAAUGCUUCCAUAGAACCUUCCGAGGGUCACAAAAUUUGUUUCAAAACAAGUCAGAAUAAUCGGAGUGGAUCAGCUUUACCAACAGUACAUCAGCUAUAUUUACACAAUUCUAGUUACAAGACAGAAUCCACAAGCACGGAAGGUUACAGUUUGGAACUGUAAGCAAAGAUCUUUACAAGUUGACAUGUGCAUUGGCAAAGAUGAUGAAAGGUACCUAAAAUUAUUGACAGAGGCUUUCAAAACCCAUAUGCUCUUUCCUUGCAAUCUUCUCCACUAGGUCUUCUAUGCCGAGCCAACCUGCACAAAAUAUGCAUUAGCACCUUGUUUAAUAAGCUGCAACGAUAGAUGCGCACAAAUUUCGGUAAUCAUUACCUAUACCGAUUGCGCUGACAAAGAUGGUCCACGCCAGAAUGAAAAUGAUCAAAGAUGCUCUUCCUAUCAAAAUGAUAAGCCUCCUUACAAGGUACUGUCCAGCUACAGCUGCAAGUGUGGCCACACAAAACAGGUACGUGGCUGCAGCAUUGCAAGUAGUUUUUGUUUUCUGAAGAUUCUAGUGCAGGAAGAUGAUUUUUAAUUAACUAAAAAAGGGCCCCUGCACAGAUAUGUCUUUUAUACUUACAAUAAGGAACAGGAAAUCGACCAAGUAGGUAGUAUUGUAUGACAGACAUGGAGGACGAAAAUGUCAUAACAAAGUUAGAUGUUGCACUUGCAACCUGCAUGAGAACACUAAAUCAGUGAAAAGGAGAAAGCAUGUUUGCACAUCAACUUUGUGAUUUUCUGAUUCCAAUUCUCAUUCCAUAUUCCAUAGAGUAAUUUCGGAUAUGUACAUGGAGUGCAGUGGGUUAUAAAGUAAAAGCAAUAGAGUCAUUAUUUAAGGGAAAAUAUACCUAAUGGCUUAUGGACUGAAUUGAUUUUGGAAGGGAAAGUACAUUUGCACACCUAUACUUAAUGAAAAGAGAUUCCUAUUCACCAUUUGCUUCAUAAUCUAGUUUUGAGAUUGCUGCUGAAGAAAAUGCAACUAAGUCCAGAUGGUUUAAAAAGUUUCAAAAUCAAAGUAUCACAGUAUCAAUCCAAAUAAUAUUAGAAGAGAGAUUGUUCAGAUGAAUAAUUCAUUCACUUUUCGAAGCCUAUGACAUUCUUAUAUAGAUCUCCCAGAGCAAAACUUGUAAACUAGGUCUUACAUUUAAAAAAAAGAACAUUAUUAGAGAAAUUGUUCAUGUCGAUUUUCAGAGAAAUUACAUUGUUAUAGAAAUCUGCACAGGAAAGAACUCCAAACAAGUAUCAUUUUCUCAUGUUGAGUGUCUUCAAUUUUAUUUUAUUUUUAUUUUUUAACUAGCCCCAGGUAUCCAACCAUUCAGGCCGAUUAAUCCUGAGGAUGACCGGUCCGACCCUAUGGAAGUUUCCACCGGCCAUCAAGUUAAAUCCGAAGUGCUCACAACGGUGACCCAACAACCCAACAUCUCAGCUUCAUGUCAUAGGUACACUUCAUGGCCAACACUAAGAAACAAAACAAACUUUCCAUUAAUCCUACAUAAUUAAAGGGAAAUACAAGAACCUGUGGAGGAACACCCAUUUCAAUAAAUAAGGGUCCUAAUAUGAACCCC